CAACUGCAUCAAACCAAGUCAAGGAGGCAAAUGAUUCAUCGCCUCUAAUACUCAUCCUAUUAUGCAGACUAAAUAUUUCGUUUAUAACGCUCACCUGUUCAUUAAUAAACAGGGUAGGAAUAAAAGAAAAAUUCUGGGAUAACUGACAGAUUCUCAUAACGCGUACGAGGCGAGAGGUAAUCUUGUUAUAUAUCGAUCAACCCAGACACCAGACUGCAUGCAGCAAGCAGCAGUCAGCUUAGUGCCUUAUUCCGAGAGCAAGUUGCGCCGUGUCGGCAUAUCAGCUCGUUUGUAUUUUAUCCCACUCAUAAGAUAGCGGCAAAAUGGCCCACGGCUGUGUUUCAAGAUUCAACUCUGACAGCGAAAGGACACCGGACAGGUUACAAGGAAAGACGACGGCAGAAGGCUUCCGUCCCGGGCAAACAUGCAACGGCCGCCUGACUACCCUGUGGAAACGAAUCUUCAUCCUGUCGAUCAUUCUAAUAAUCCCUCUGACGAAGAGCUUCGUGUAAAAAUGCCACUACUCUACCUUGAGAUUUUUUACUACUUAACCUUGAGAACAACAUAGAAAAAUAUAGGUCCAUCCUCUGGGCCAGCAUGUGAAAAUAAGUGUCUAUAAACAUUCCUUCAAGAAUUACGUAAGGCUGCUGGAAGAGUUACGUAAUGCUACUGGCCUUCAACAUCUGAUUAGUUUUAAGUAUCCAGACUUUUCCACUUUUUGGAGCAUAUGAAGUUUAGUGGGGACGAGUCCUUCUUCUAAACAAAAUUAGCAUGGUUUUCCCUUGGAAAAUCUAUAUUUCCUCUUACUGUAAACUAGUUUACACUACUGUGUACAUAGAUAUAGGCUUAUGUCUUUACUUUUCAGAUAUUCGAUAUUUCAUGCAAAUGCCAUGCUUGUUAUAAGCUUCCCAAAGAGAUUGUUUCCAUAUGUAAUCCCUAGCAUUUUCAUUCAACAUCCUUUUUUUUUUUAAUAUCACGACGUUACUAAUAACAUUCAACUCGAAAUACUCUGACGCUAUCACUACUUUCAACCAUUGCUGUCAAAAGUCAACGUUAAUAACCCAACUCUUGUGACGCCAGGAGCUAUAAAUCUAUCAACCACUUUCACUUUGGUCAAAAGUCUGAUACUGUUGUGAAUAAGCGAAGCGUAAUUAUCAGAUAACCUCUCUGGCUCCCUACAGUGUCUGAAACCAACCCCCCCAACAACAAUCCCAAUGUCCUAAUGUCUUUCGUUCCUUGAGCUCAUUCAGUUGUUUGAAUGUUACAGCUCGCAAGCAAUAGACAAGUAUUUCAAUAAAUAAAUAGCAAAGAAAGUAAAAUUAAGUUCUGGUGAGACUGAGACUCAUUAUAAAACUCUUCAUGUUCUUUGUAGCGUAACACGGGAAAAGUUCCUAGUUUCGUAAAAACUUCAGUGAAUUCUAGUCAAUCUUUCGCAAACUAUUAGUACUAAACGUGAUCACUAAUAAAGUUGAUAGUGUUUUUUGUGUUUUAACUAAAAAAAAUAUCACUGCUUCUGGGCAUAUUCUAUAUUUAAUUUUACGAGGUAUGUAUGUAAAUAGGUAGUUUUAUACAUUAUUCUGUACUACUGUAGAAUAUCGCUAAAUUCUUUGAUAAAAAUGAGAUUGAAGUAAUCCGGUGUACUUUUACCCUCAUACUGAUAAGAAUUGUGAUAGCAGUAAGGUUUAUAUGGUUUUAAACUACAAAAAGUAGGCAACAAUAAAAGUUUUUUGCAAUUUUACAGAAGGUAAAAAUUAUAAAUGCGUGAGAUAACUUUUAGAAGCUGCAUGAAGAAAUAUCCUACAAGAAAGCUGGCCUUCACCUUCUCACAAGGGAAACCUAAAUCCUGGUUUUUUUCUUAGUAGGGACUAACAAACCAUAAACUGGCCAUUUCAUUUUGGAUAUCAUACAUGGCACAGUCAUCCUUCCCUUUUAAUAUUCGUCACUACCAAGAUUUCCAUAUAGAUUUAUAAGGUAGUUUUUGCUGUAGAAUCCAUUUCUGCUUGGGGCAUUUUUGUUUUGUGCAUAUUUAAUUAGAUUAUUUGCAUUUUUGCAUAAAUUAGCGGAAAUUACAUUUAAAGAGCUUAUUAGUGGCAUUUUGGUGGUUAUUUGAGGUAAAUAAAUGGAAAGUGUGUCUUGUUCAGGAUUGCUUUUAUUUACAGGAUAAUAACUGUGCAUGUUCAUUGUUCUUAAUUGACAUAAAUUAAGAAAAUAUUAUUACGACUCAAGCGAAAAGCGGUACCAGUAAAUUUCUGUUCAAUCUUAUUUGAUUGACCUUUCUGCGUGUUCCGUUGGGCAUAUGGCAUGCCUGUAUAUUGGUAUUGCUUGUACUGUGAACCCUCAGUCUCCAAAGAAUGACAAGGGCUUGUGUUGACUACCAGUACAUAUUUGGCUCAGAAGGUUUGGCCUGCUGCUAGUGAUUGGAAGUCUUUGCUUAGAUACACGUCAGAGGUCUGCAAAAACCACUGCAUUGAGCUUGACAGUGCAUCGACUUUCCGGAUGAAAAUGAAGCAACCAAGUUUCUGAGUAAAUGUGGUCAUGGAGUGUCCUAUGCUGAUGUACGUUUGCUGACGAACACAUGAGAGCAACAAGUGACCAUACAGUCUACACGAAAAAUUACACCUGGUUUGUGAAAGGAAGAGCUGUGCACGUCACAAUAUGUAAUUCAGAUGGGAAACAGCAGACUCUUACAGGUUCACACAUACUAACACAACCCACAAACGGAACCUUGUUUCAGAAUAGAUUGCUGCUUGAAGAUGAUGAUAAUUCUACAGAUGAAUAUCACCAGGAAGAGGAGAACAAUACACUCGUUGAUGCAGAAUCCAUAGAACAUGGUUAUGGAGCAUUCAGGAUAGGAAAGGGGAAGUGGGUUUGGAGGGAAUAUCACAGGCCGCUUCAUCUCCAUAGUUCAUGGGGACUUCAUAACUGAUGUAACUAUAAACAGAGGUCGAAGUCAGGGGUUGCCCGAUGCAAGGAGGCUUCAGCACAUCGCUAAAAGUAGAUGCUUUUCUCAAAAGUCAUCUGAUGGCAAAAGUGAGGACAGCACUGAAAGAGAAAUUAAAUCUAAUGACAAAUUCAGCACACAAAGAAAGGAGAACGUGAGAAAACAGUGGUCACUGGUUGACAAAUGCAUGGAUCCAUUUGCACCAGGUGUCCCAAGACAUUUCAAAACUGGCGAGGGCCUUGAAAAUAUUGUGAAAGGCUUGUUCUAUUCCACUGAGAUUGGGGAGAUGUUGCUAUUGAAGUUUAUAGAGGAAAGGCUGAAGAUGGUGUCAGUUUCUUCAAACAUGUAAAGAAAACAAAUAUAAAACCUGGAUGAGAAAAACCCAAGAAACCACCAACGGCUGUUAAUAUACUAAAAGAGGAGAAGCAGGCCACCUACCCCUUGAUCUCUGUACCUGUAGCCCAUUCUACAAAAGUUAAAAACUUAAAACAA